rnacentral:rRNA from 1 species
AGAGUUUGAUCCUGGCUCAGGAUGAACGCUGGCGGCGUGCUUAACACAUGCAAGUCGAACGGGAUCCAAGGGUGCUUGCAUCCUUGGUGAGAGUGGCGAACGGGUGAGUAACACGUGAGUAACCUGUCCUUUUCUUUGGGAUAAGCUCCUGAAAGGGUGUUUAAUACCUUAUGUUCUGUCUGCCUCGCAUGGGGUGGGUGGGAAAGAUUUUUUCGGUGAAGGGUGGGCUCGCGGUCUAUCAGCUUGUUGGUGGGGUGAUGGCUUACCAAGGCUUUGACGGGUAGCCGGCCUGAGAGGGUGGUCGGUCACAUUGGGACUGAGAUACGGCCCAGACUCCUGCGGGAGGCAGCAGUGGGGGAUAUUGCACAAUGGGCGCAAGCCUGAUGCAGCGACGCCGCGUGGGGGAUGAAGGCCUUCGGGUUGUAAACUUCUUUUGCUCUGAACAAGGCAUGCUAGUGGGUGUGUUGAGUGUAGGGGUUGAUUAGCGCCGGCUAACUACGUGCCAGCAGCCGCGGUAAUACGUAGGGCGCGAGCGUUGUCCGGAAUUAUUGGGCGUAAAGGGCUUGUAGGUGGCUGGUUGCGUCUGUCGUGAAAGCUCAUGGCUUAACUGUGGGUUUGCGGUGGGUACGGGCUGGCUUGAGUGCAGUAGGGGAGGCUGGAAUUCCUGGUGUAGCGGUGGAAUGCGCAGAUAUCAGGAGGAAUACCGGUGGCGAAGGCGGGUCUCUGGGCUGUUACUGACACUGAGGAGCGAAAGCAUGGGGAGCGAACAGGAUUAGAUACCCUGGUAGUCCAUGCUGUAAACGGUGGCAAGGCUAAAACUCAAAGGAAUUGACGGGGGCCCGCACAAGCGGCGGAGCAUGCGGAUUAAUUCGAUGCAACGCGAAGAACCUUACCAAGGCUUGACAUGCACUGGACUGGCCCAGAGAUGGGUUUUCCUUUUUGGCUGGUGUGCAGGUGGUGCAUGGUUGUCGUCAGCUCGUGUCGUGAGAUGUUGGGUUAAGUCCCGCAACGAGCGCAACCCUUGUCCUAUGUUGCCAGCAAGUUGUGUUGGGGACUCGUGGGAGACUGCCGGGGUUAACUCGGAGGAAGGUGGGGAUGACGUCAAAUCAUCAUGCCCCUUAUGUCUUGGGCUUCACGCAUGCUACAUUGGCGUCUACAGAGGGUUGCGAUACCGUAAGGUGGGGCGAAUCUCUUAAAGGGCGUCUUGGUUCGGAUCGGGGUCUGCAACUCGGCCCCGUGAAGGUGGAGUCGCUAGUAAUCGCAGAUCAGCAACGCUGCGGUGAAUACGUUCUCGGGCCUUGUACACACCGCCCGUCACGUCACGAAAGUUGGUAACACUCGAAGCUUGUGGCCUAUCUCUUUUUGAGGGGGAGCGGGUGAAGGUGGGGCUAGCGAUUGGGACGAAGUCGUAACAAGGUAGCCGUACCGGAAGGUGCGGCUG